CCUACGGGUGGCAGCAGUAGGGAAUCUUUCACAAUGGGCGAAAGCCUGACGGAGCAACGCCGCGUGCAGGAUGAAGGCCUUCGGAUUGUAAACCGCUUUUAUAAGCGAGGAAUAUGCAGUUAACUUAUGAAUAAUGAACUGCUAAAUCCGUGCCAGAAGCCGCGGUCAUACGCGGGAGCCGAGAAUUUUACGGGGCGGCUGGGUGUAAAGAGUUGCGUAGGUGGUAUAGUAAGUAGACAGUGGAAAGUGCUGGCUAAACCAUGGGGACUGUUUGCGAAACUGUUAAGCUGGAGACUGUUAGAGGUAAGUGGAAUUUCAGGUGUAGGAGUGAAAUCCGUAGAUAUUAGAAGGAACACCAAUGGCGAAGGCAGCUUACUGGGACAGUUCUGACGCUGAGGCACGAAAGCGUAGGGAGCAAACAGGAUUAGAUACCCGAGUAGUC
rnacentral:rRNA from 1 species